rnacentral:tRNA from 1 species
UAGUAAAUAGUUUAAUCAAAACACUGAUUUUGGAAAUCAGAGACAAUUAAGAGUUUUUACUAA